GCUUAACCGGAGAAGUGCAUUGGAAACUGGGAAACUUGAGUGCAGAAGAGGACAGUGGAACUCCAUGUGUAGCGGUGGAAUGCGUAGAUAUAUGGAAGAACACCAGUGGCGAAGGCGACUGUCUGGUCUGUAACUGACGCUGAUGCUCGAAAGCAUGGGGAGCGAACAGGAUUAGAUACCCUGGUAGUCCAUGCCGUAAACGAUGAGUGCUAAGUGUUGGAGGGUUUCCGCCCUUUAGUGCUGCAGCUAACGCAUUAAGCACUCCGCCUGGGGAGUACGACCGCAAGGUUGAAACUCAAAGGAAUUGACGGGGACCCGCACAAGCGGUGGAGCAUGUGGUUUAAUUCGAAGCUACGCGAAGAACCUUACCAGGCCUUGACAUCUUCUGCCAAUCUUAGAGAUAAAACUUUCCCUUCGGGGACAGAAUGACAGGUGGGGCAUGGGUGUCGUCACCUCUCGUGUCGAGAUGUUGGGUUAAAUCCCGCAACGAGCGCGACCCUUAUUAUCUUUUGUGCGCAUUCUAUUGGGCACUCUGGUGAGACUGCCGGUGACAAACCGGAGAAAAGUGGGGAUGACAUCAAAUCAUCAUGCGCCCUUAUGACAUGUGCUACACACGUGCUACAAUGUGGAGUACAACG
rnacentral:rRNA from 1 species